UUUACCCUGAAAAUACGCCUACCACAAAAGAAGCAUACUACUAUAGGACUAUAUUUGAGAAGUUCUUUCCAAAGAAUGCUGCUAGAUCAACAGUUCCAGGCGGUCCAAGUGUGGCAUGUAGUACAGCAAAAGCUGUGGAAUGGGAUGCGGCAUGGUCAAAAAAUCCCGAUCCAUCUGGCCGUGCUGCACUUGGUAUUCACUCAGCUGCAUAUGAAGAAGCAGUGGCUGCAAAGAAUAAAAGUUCGCUGAGUGGCUCUCCUAAAAAAUUACACGGGGUUGGAGAGAAAGCUGCUGCAGUUGUUUGAAUCGAACUCUAUCAAGUUUGUUACACCGCACAUGAACACACGACCGGACUUUGUUCUAGUUAACAUCUUUAGCUAUAAGGCAUUGUUAAUUUUUACUUUUCUUGGGUGGUGUUGGUAUGUAGUUCAUUUCCCAUCAGUGUUCGUUCCUGUCCUUUCUCAGGCCUCUUUUGUAGAUUACAGAUUAACUAGUUAACUGGUGCGGUCUCUUUUCAUA